rnacentral:rRNA from 2 species
ACGGUCCUAAGGUAGCGAAAUUCCUUGUCGGGUAAGUUCCGACCUGCACGAAUGGCGUAAUGAUGGCCAGGCUGUCUCCACCCGAGACUCAGUGAAAUUGAACUCGCUGUGAAGAUGCAGUGUACCCGCGGCAAGACGGAAAGACCCCGUGAACCUUUACUAUAGCUUGACACUGAACAUUGAGCCUUGAUGUGUAGGAUAGGUGGGAGGCUUUGAAGUGUGGACGCCAGUCUGCAUGGAGCCGGCCUUGAAAUACCACCCUUUAAUGUUUGAUGUUCUAACGUUGGCCCCUGAUCGGGGUUGCGGACAGUGUCUGGUGGGUAGUUUGACUGGGGCGGUCUCCUCCUAAAGAGUAACGGAGGAGCACGAAGGUUGGCUAAUCCUGGUCGGACAUCAGGAGGUUAGUGCAAUGGCAUAAGCCAGCUUGACUGCGAGCGUGACGGCGCGAGCAGGUGCGAAAGCAGGUCAUAGUGAUCCGGUGGUUCUGAAUGGAAGGGCCAUCGCUCAACGGAUAAAAGGUACUCCGGGGAUAACAGGCUGAUACCGCCCAAGAGUUCAUAUCGACGGCGGUGUUUGGCACCUCGAUGUCGGCUCAUCACAUCCUGGGGCUGAAGUAGGUCCCAAGGGUAUGGCUGUUCGCCAUUUAAAGUGGUACGCGAGCUGGGUUUAGAACGUCGUGAGACAGUUCGGUCCCUAUCUGCCGUGGGCGCUGGAGAACUGAGGGGGGCUGCUCCUAGUACGAGAGGACCGGAGUGGACGCAUCACUGGUGUUCGGGUUGUCAUGCCAAUGGCACUGCCCGGUAGCUAAAUGCGGAAGAGAUAAGUGCUGAAAGCAUCUAAGCACGAAACUUGCCCCGAGAUGAGUUCUCCCUGACUCCUUGAGAGUCCUGAAGGAACGUUGAAGACGACGACGUUGAUAGGCCGGGUGUGUAAGCGCAGCGAUGCGUUGAGCUAACCGGUACUAAUGAACCGUGAGGCUUAACCUU